GGAGAGGUGGCAGAGUGGUCGAAUGCGGCGGUCUCGAAAACCGUUGCCCGGGGUAACUCGGGUCGUGAGUUCGAAUCUCACCCUCUCCGCCA
rnacentral:tRNA from 1 species